GAUGAACGCUGGCGGCGUGCCUAAUACUUGCAAGUCGAGCGAACAGAUGAGGAGCUUGCUCCUCUGACGUUAGCGGCGGACGGGUGAGUAACACGUGGAUAACCUACCUAUAAGACUGGGAUAACUUCGGGAAACCGGAGCUAAUACCGGAUAAUAUAUUGAACCGCAUGGUUCAAUAGUGAAAGACGGUUUUGCUGUCACUUAUAGAUGGAUCCGCGCCGCAUUAGCUAGUUGGUAAGGUAACGGCUUACCAAGGCAACGAUGCGUAGCCGACCUGAGAGGGUGAUCGGCCACACUGGAACUGAGACACGGUCCAGACUCCUACGGGAGGCAGCAGUAGGGAAUCUUCCGCAAUGGGCGAAAGCCUGACGGGGCAACGCCGCGUGAGUGAUGAAGGUCUUCGGAUCGUAAAACUCUGUUAUUAGGGAAGAACAAAUGUGUAAGUAACUAUGCACGUCUUGACGGUACCUAAUCAGAAAGCCACGGCUAACUACGUG
rnacentral:rRNA from 1 species